rnacentral:rRNA from 1 species
UAGGGAAUCUUCCACAAUGGACGCAAGUCUGAUGGAGCAACGCCGCGUGAGUGAAGAAGGUCUUCGGAUCGUAAAACUCUGUUGUUAGAGAAGAACACGAGUGAGAGUAACUGUUCAUUCGAUGACGGUAUCUAACCNGCAAGUCACGGCUAACUACGUGUCAG